AUUGAACGCUGGCGGCAUGCUUUACACAUGCAAGUCGAACGGCAGCGGGGAGGAGCUUGCUUCUCUGCCGGCGAGUGGCGAACGGGUGAGUAAUACAUCGGAACGUGUCGAGAAGAGGGGGAUAACCACCCGAAAGGGUGGCUAAUACCGCAUAAAUUCUGAGGAAGAAAGCUGGGGACCUGGGAAUAGGCCUAGCGCUUUUUGAGCGGCCGAUGUCGGAUUAGCUAGUUGGUGAGGUAAAGGCUCACCAAGGCGAAGAUCUGUAGCGGGUCUGAGAGGAUGAUCCGCCACACUGGGACUGAGACACGGCCCAGACUCCUACGGGAGGCAGCAGUGGGGAAUUUUGGACAAAGGGGGCAACCCUGAUCCAGCCAUGCCGCGUGUAUGAAGAAGGCCUUAGGGUUGUAAAGUACUUUUGUUAGGGAAGAAAAGUCAGCUGUGAAUAAUGGCUGAUACUGACGGUACCUAAAGAAUAAGCACCGGCUAACUACGUG
rnacentral:rRNA from 1 species